UAUGCCACGCUUCUAGGCAAAGUCUUUGACUAUGGUCAAAGACUUUGCCUAGAAGCGUGGCAUAUAAAUAUG
rnacentral:miRNA from 1 species